rnacentral:tRNA from 1 species
GGGCGCGUGGUGGAACUGGCAGACACGUAGGAUUUAGGAUCCUAUGGGGCAACCCGUGGGGGUUCGACUCCCCCCGCGCCCA